rnacentral:rRNA from 1 species
UACGAGAGCCUCGAGCGUUAUCCGGAAUUAUUGGGCGUAAAGGGUGAGUAGGUGGUGCUAUUAGUCGAAUGUUAAAUCCCCGAGCUUAACUUGGGAACCGCGUUCGAAACGGUAGUACUUGAGAUGAGGAGGGGUGUACAGAACUCAAGGUGUAGGGGUGAAAUCCGUUGAUAUCUUGGGGAAUACCAAAAGCGAAGGCAGUACACUGGCCUCAAUCUGACACUGAAUCACGAAAGCGUGGGUAGCGAAUGGG